rnacentral:rRNA from 1 species
GUCUGACGGAGCACGCCGCGUGAGUGAUGAAGGUUUUCGGAUCGUAAAGCUCUGUUGUUAGGGAAGAACAAGUGCCGUUCAAAUAGGGCGGCACCUUGACGGUACCUAACCAGAAAGCCACGGCUAACUACGUGCCAGCAGCCGCGGUAAUACGUAGGUGGCAAGCGUUGUCCGGAAUUAUUGGGCGUAAAGGGCUCGCAGGCGGUUUCUUAAGUCUGAUGUGAAAGCCCCCGGCUCAACCGGGGAGGGUCAUUGGAAACUGGGGAACUUGAGUGCAGAAGAGGAGAGUGGAAUUCCACGUGUAGCGGUGAAAUGCGUAGAGAUGUGGAGGAACACCAGUGGCGAAGGCGACUCUCUGGUCUGUAACUGACGCUGAGGAGCGAAAGCGUGGGGAGCGAACAGGAUUAGAUACCCUGGUAGUCCACGCCGUAAACGAUGAGUGCUAAGUGUUAGGGGGUUUCCGCCCCUUAGUGCUGCAGCUAACGCAUUAAGCACUCCGCCUGGGGAGUACGGUCGCAAGACUGAAACUCAAAGGAAUUGACGGGGGCCCGCACAAGCGGUGGAGCAUGUGGUUUAAUUCGAAGCAACGCGAAGAACCUUACCAGGUCUUGACAUCCUCUGACAAUCCUAGAGAUAAGGACGUCCCCUUCGGGGGCAGAGUGACAGGUGGUGCAUGGUUGUCGUCAGCUCGUGUCGUGAGAUGUUGGGUUAAGUCCCGCAACGAGCGCAACCCUUGAUCUUAGUUGCCAGCAUUCAGUUGGGCACUCUAAGGUGACUGCCGGUGACAAACCGGGAAGGAAGGUGGGGAUGACGUCAAAUC